CCUCCAACGUGAGCACGCAUGCGCGCACGUCCACGCAAGCAGACUCUCCGCUCUGCGGCCAGCAGUCUCCAACUUCCUUCCGGUUCAGUCCAGCGUGCAGGAGGGUGUAAGGCCCCAACGUAUCACCGAAGGCUGAGACUCUCAGGCCCCUGACCUUCUUGCAGGUCUAUUUUCUUCCCAUGUAUUGCCUCUUUCUGACUCGGUAUCUUUUCUUAUGUGCAGGCUCUGUCCAGGCCGGUCCGCUCCAUCAUCUGGCUUACGCAUGUCACUUGGGAAAGUUACACGAGAGCAAGACAGACUUGCCGGCCCUCAACCUCGGAGAUCUUGGGUUUCUCAUCAGGCGUUUUGUCUGCGUGCAGAACUGGGCCUCUGCUACCGCAUCAGGAUGUGCAUUGAGGGGUAGAGCUCUGACUUUGUACCCUUCUCUACUCUUCUCACCCUUGACUCAGACUGAGCUUCUACCCAGCAGGAAACCCCAGCUUGCUGAAACGAGUCAUCAUCAUCUCUUCUCUGAAUGUAAGACUCAUGAAGGCGAAGGCAGGUUUCUUCAUGCCCGUUACAGCAUUCAGCAAGUAUAAGGUACUCAAUAACCAAGCACGG
rnacentral:lncRNA from 1 species